AUAUGACCAGGUCUUCAACUGAAAUCAGAAGAUUUGAGAAACAUUAUUUGUUUGAAUGAACAAGCCUGCUCCCUAUAAUUUUAUAUCACAUAAUUGCACGCUCUGUACUGCAUAUGAGUGCAGCUGGUAGUGCUUUAAUCCCUCCGUUUAUACUCUGUUAUGUUCCUGUGCUGUAAAACGAAUGCCCCAACAACCCCACCCCGUCCUCCAGCAGCUUGGCACCAUUGUAAAUGAGGGUCCCAGCCUGUCACCAACAAAGUAAAAAAAAAA